CACCAAACAAGUGGAUUAUUACAAAAGCUACAUAAAAACCUGCUUGGAUAACCUGGCUAGCAAGGGCAAGGUCUCGAAGAAGCCUAGGGAGAUGAAAGGCAAAAGUAGUAAAAAGAUUUCACUAAAAUAUACAGCAGCUCGACUUCAUGAGAAGGGAGUGCUUUUAGAGAUUGAGGACCUGCAAGUUAACCAGUUUAAAAAUGUGAUAUUUGAAAUCAGUCCAACAGAAGAAGUAGGAGAUUUUGAGGUAAAAGCAAAAUUCAUGGGGUACAGAUGGAAACGUUUAUGUUACAUUAUCAGGAUCUUUUGCAGCUGCAGUAUGAAGGCGUUGCAGUCAUGAAGUUGUUUGACAGAGCAAAAGUAAAUGUCAACCUUCUGAUCUUUCUUCUGAACAAGAAAUUCUAUGGAAAGUAACUGACCUCUGCUGGCAAGUCUGUGAAAGGGGAGACAAAUAGAAACCUGCAUAUAUGACUUGUAAUGAUUUAGCUAUGCAUCAGUAUAUGCCCAUACCUUGCUAAAAUAUAUCAAAUGUAUUAUGACAAAGGACUAAGAACCUCUUGUGAAUUGACAGUGCUGACUGAGUCUGUAGUGCGUUGCUUCUUGUACCUUUAUGACCUUUAUGUUCUACUUGGAAGGUCCCCUGAGAAUGUAUUUUUAUAUGGCACUGGGGAUUAAACUAUUAUUAGGAUAAACUUAGGGCUGCUUUAUUUGCCUAAUCAUGUUCUUUAUAAGUCUCGUAUUCUGGUUAUGUGUACAAAGAGAAAGAUGGCACUAUAGAGCAAUUGAUUUAUUGAUUUGCCUCAUGAAGGAAAAAAGUUAGAGAUUGUAUUCAGACUCCAGUUACUCUCUAACAGCAAUGACUGCAAUGAAAAAAUGGUUGAAGUCCAGGUAAUCCAUUUGUUUGUGAGCUUGUGGCAGUGAUGACAGCAAGCCAGUUGCUGAGAACGCAUAGGGUCUGGAGAAUCAUUGUGUCAUAUGGUUGCUGAACUACUCACGAUUAUGUGUUAUAGACACAUAGAACAGCUUUAGUGUCUUAUUUUUCUUCAUUUGUUUCUCUUAAUGACACUAUAUAAUAAUUUACAGAUGGCCCAUUACAUAGAAGGACUGUGGAGGACAUUUAUUACUGCAUAAGGAUGAAAAGAAGCCUUUUGGGAGGGGAAACUGAAAAAAUCUUAAGAUGUUAGUUUUUAGUGCUGCUUGCAAAGCAUUUAAAAUGUAUUUUUUUUUAGUUUAGAGCAAUGUUCCAUAUAUCUCUAUCUGAUUCAAUAAAUGUUAAGCUCAACCUGCAGACUUGUCAAAAAGUUCCCUUGGGGGAAGACAACUAUCUUAAAUAGGUCAGUCUUUAAAAAGUUAAUUUUUUUCUAGCUCUAUCGAGGUCCCCAUUUGUUUUACUAUUUAGUGGAUUUUUCACCACAGCAGUGGUGGUGCUGCCUGUUCUGCUAGAUUCAAUAAAAAUACGGAGACUCUUAAAUAAAUAAAUCCAAUCCUAAACUAAUUGUUUGUUCUGCCCCUUCUUCCACCCCUGUUUUCUUCUUAGUAUUUCCAUUUUUUUAGAAGGGACAUAACACUUAAUUGCAAAUUUGAAGUUACUCAAGUGUCACUUUCACUGUUUUUUCAGAUUACUGAGUGAAGUUGAACUGCCUUAUCUUGAUCUAUGUAAGCACUAGUUCAUUGGCUUAGAUCUUUGCUUAUAAAAGCCACUCACAAUAUUUGAAAUGGUUACAUUCCUGAGGAUAAUUUUUCUGUAAUCCUUUAAUAAGCACUUACGUCUUUUAACCUGCUAACAUCUAGACUGUAUUAAAUACGAUAUUUUAAUGUUGAUGCAUGCGGGGUCCAACCCAAUAACAACAACAACAUCCUUACAUAUCAAACUGAAGGUAGAUCUUUACAGUGCAGAUCAUCUGAAAGAGGGAGACUUCAGAACUGGAUUUCCACUGCUAUCGGAAGAAGAGAUGUGUAAUGGGAUAAAGGUCUUGACUUUUUUUUUUUUUUUCUUUAGCUGCUUCUGAAUUUGCUGUAUCAUAGAAGGACUUAAAAAUUACAUUCCUUUGAUCUCGGGAUGGUGAGAAUAAUGGUGGAACAUUAUUAAAUAUUAUUAAGAAAAUGCAGCUGUAGUCUGCAAGCUCUUGAAUCACAGAGAUUGAUUCCUCCAUUUUUUUUCUAAAUAAAACACUUCAAAUAUAUAUUUUUUAAACUACAGCUGUGGUCAGAUUUGGGAACAAGGUAAUGAGGUAUUAGCAGUUACCUUAUUCUAAUCAAGGAAAACAUCCUUAACAGGUGACUCUAUAAUACUUACCUCUUGCCUUGAAUUGGCAAAAAUUGGAAAAAAAAAUGUUUGCUUGAAAAUAAUUUUAAAAAAUGGAAGGAGUAUACUCAUUUUUGCUAACACUAUCAAACUAGAGAAAAAACUAUUAAAAGAUUCAGUCACAGCACUGAGUUAUAUGUAUUUUAUAAUUUAUUGGUGGCUUAGCUUUGCUUUACACCCUUGUAUUUAUGAUGAAAGUAGCUACAUGUAUAAGGCAAGUCUGUCUGUUGUUCUUUGCUGGUAAAGCGCCUUUGUAACUCACAUCUAAGUAAAAAGUCAUUUGUCCCCA